rnacentral:rRNA from 1 species
UUGGAGGGCAAGUCUGGUGCCAGCAGCCGCGGUAAUUCCAGCUCCAAUAGCGUAUAUUAAAGUUGUUGCAGUUAAAAAGCUCGUAGUUGAAUUUCGGAGUUUGUCGGUUGGUCGGGCUUCACUGUCCGCAUUGGCCUGAUGGAUUCCUACCUUCUGAAUAACCAGCAUGCUAUUAAGUUAGUGCGUUGGGGAAGCAGAGCUAUUACCUUGAAAAAAUUAGAGUGCUUAAAGCAGGCUUAUGCUUGAAUAGAUUAGCAUGGAAUAAUAAAAUAGGACGGCAUGGUUCUAUUUUGUUGGUUUCUAGAAUCACCGUAAUGAUUAAUAGGGAUAGUUGGGGGCAUUAGUAUUCAAUUGUCAGAGGUGAAAUUCUUGGAUUUAUUGAAGACUAACUUCUGCGAAAGCAUUUGCCAAGGAUGUUUUCAUUAAUCAAGAACGAAAGUUAGGGGAUCGAAGACGAUCUGAUACCGUCGUAGUCUUAACCAUAAACUAUGCCGACUAGGGAUCGGACGAUGUUAAUUUUUUAAUGACUCGUUCGGCGCCUUACGGGAAAC